UACGUAGGGCGCAAGCGUUAUCCGGAAUCACUGGGGCGUAAAAGCGUCUGUAGGUGGUUUUAAAAAAGUCUGCUGUUAAAGGUUGAAGCUUAACUUCAAAAAAUGCAGUAGAAAACUUUUUAAACUUGAGUAUGGUAGGGGGUAGAGGGAAUUUCCAGUGGAGCGGUGAAAUGCGUAGAUCUUGGAAAGACCACCAAUGGCGAAGGCACUCUACUGGGCCAUAACUGACACUAAGAGACGAAAAGCUAGGGGGAGCAAA
rnacentral:rRNA from 1 species